rnacentral:rRNA from 1 species
GGCCUAACACAUGCAAGUCGAACGGUAACAGAUAAGAGCUUGCUUUUAUGCUGACGAGUGGCGCACGGGUGAGUAACGCGUAUACAAUCUACCUUUUACAGGGGGAUAGCCUUUAGAAAUGAAGAUUAAUAUCCCAUAGUAAGUUAUCAUUGCAUGAUAGUAACUUUAAAGCUUCGGCGGUAAAAGAUGAGUAUGCGUUCUAUUAGCUAGAUGGUGUGGUAACGGCACACCAUGGCAACGAUAGAUAGGGGCCCUGAGAGGGGGAUCCCCCACACUGGUACUGAGACACGGACCAGACUCCUACGGGAGGCAGCAGUGAGGAAUAUUGGACAAUGGGCGGGAGCCUGAUCCAGCCAUGCCGCGUGCAGGAAGACUGCCCUAUGGGUUGUAAACUGCUUUUAUACGGGAAGAAACCUAGUCACGUGUGACUAGCUGACGGUACCGUAAGAAUAAGGAUCGGCUAACUCCGUGCCAGCAGCCGCGGUAAUACGGAGGAUCCAAGCGUUAUCCGGAAUCAUUGGGUUUAAAGGGUCCGUAGGUGGAUAAUUAAGUCAGGGGUGAAAGUCUGCAGCUCAACUGUAGAAUUGCCCUUGAUACUGGUUGUCUUGAAUUAUUGUGAAGUGGUUAGAAUAUGUAGUGUAGCGGUGAAAUGCAUAGAUAUUACAUAGAAUACCAAUUGCGAAGGCAGAUCACUAACAAUAUAUUGACACUGAUGGACGAAAGCGUGGGGAGCGAACAGGAUUAGAUACCCUGGUAGUCCACGCCGUAAACGAUGGAUACUAGCUGUUCGGUUUUCGGACUGAGUGGCUAAGCGAAAG